UAUGUAUAUAGGCGCAUUGAAAAUCUAUCUUUAUCUGGGCACUUGGAUAGAUCGGAGCUAGUAGUGCAACCGACUGACAAUAGA
rnacentral:ncRNA from 2 species